CCGAAACACUUACCCGGUCUCUCUCCCCCGUGCAACCUGCGGCCGUUCCCCACGAGGCCACGACCCACUCCUCUGCCACGAACUCACCUUCUCCCUCCCCCUGCGCACACCUUCCUCCACGGCCGGCCAGAUCUGCUGCAUUCACCUCCAUUGACCUGGCCCUCGCGUUGGCCCGUCUCCAUCGAGCCAAAUCCUACGCCGGAGCUCCUCCUUCCUCGGCCUUCUUCUCCGCCAAACCGGCAGCGAAGCACCCCGCCAGAGCAGACGCGUUCCCCAGCCCCGGACCGGCGGCGACGCGACCCCGCGCCCUGCUUCUCCCUCUCGGCGUCAUCCUGCACCCUGCAGCGUCGAUCCCUUGCCAGGUCUUGGCAUCCCGUGACUAGGAGUUCGAUUCCUGUUGGAUCCAGGCCCUUCGCGUCCAACAACGACAACAAAAGAAGGCAGCAGCUGCUCCGGCCGCCCCCGCAGAUUCCAACCGGAGACGGCCCCCUCUACUCAUGCGCCCCUCGAAGAUCCCCUACAGUUCAACUCCCUGGCCGCGAAGUACAGGGAGGAUUCUCUCAAAGCCUUGCCUCAAACUCUCCGUCCAAAGCCAUGACUGCAGGGGUCAUGUGGACGACGGCGAGAAGCACGGCGAGGUGGAUGCGGCGUAGUACCUCACUAGAUUCCCCUCGUGCUCUUCGUCCACAGGAUCAAUUCACCGAAGCAACAUCAGCAACAAUAUGUGCAAGCAAACAAGCAAGCAGGCAAGCUGGUUGAUUGAUGAACAGUAGCUGCAGCCUCUUCAUAGAAAGUUGCCUAUAAUAUUUUUUUGGCAUAUGAUUUACGGCAACUAGCAAGCGGAGGGGAUGAGAGAGGUGUCGGAGUACCAGCGACCAGCAAGAGAAACAAGAGGAAGAGCCAAGGAGACAACACCAUCCGUGCGCCACGACCAUCUAGCGGGUGGAGCUAGAUCCGGGAAAGCAUUGUCUCGAGUGGUCGAGAAACUGGUCCGUAAAUCACCGGGCCUCACUAAAUUCUAAAACAGUGUCAAGGCAACAUGGUUUUAUGCACACGCCCACGCAAGAAGCUUCAAAAUCCACUUCGAGGUGUAGUAUAAAUCAAAUAUUAUCUACUCAUGCUUGAAGAAACAAGGGGAAAACAAUGGAAAAAGUGUUGCAAUUAGGAUGACCAAGGCAAGGAAAAAUCAAACCUUCUCUUUCUUUUCCUCCUCUGCACCCUGGUUCAUUUUUAGCAAGCAAGAUUUUUGCUACACACUUCAAGAGUUUUGUAAAACAGGAGGCGUCUAAGAGGGCACAUCAAGAUGGAAGCUCACCUUUUAGGUCCAUGGCCAUCAAAACGAGGGGCAGCAGUUGUGGCAAUGGAGGAGAGGACAGAUGGAGAAGGGGAGGUCAAGCGGGGGUGUUUGGGGAGGUAGCGACUGGGAAGGAGGGAAGGAGGGUUUGGUGCGUCGGCGCUAAUGUCGAGAACGGAGCAGCAGUUGCUAUCAUGACAGAUUCUCCCCUGGGGGCCAUGGGCGUGAGGCGGCCGUUUGUUUCCUUUUUUGGUUUGCCAGCUGGAUCCGGGGAGAGGCCCACUACUAAUUUUGGGGUGUGUGCCCUGGGCCGCUAGCCAGCCGUUGCUGGCUAAUCACGUCCAAAAAAAGUAGAAUGCUUGUCUUGCCUAAAAAAGAGUAAAA